GACGAACGCUGGCGGCGUGCUUAACACAUGCCAGUCGAACGGAAAGGCCCUGCUUUUGUGGGGUGCUCGAGUGGCGAACGGGUGAGUAACACGUGAGUAACCUGUCCUUGACUUUGGGAUAACCUCAGGAAACUGGGGCUAAUACCGGAUAGGAGCUCCUGCUGCAUGGUGGGGGUUGGAUAGUUUCGGCGGUUGGGGAUGGACUCGCGGCUUAUCAGCUUGUUGGUGGGGUAGUGGCUUACCAAGGCUUUGACGGGUAGCCGGCCUGAGAGGGGGACCGGCCACAUUGGGAUUGAGAUACGGCCCAGACUCCAACGGGAGGCAGCAGUGGGGAAUAUUGCACAAUGGGCGGAAGCCUGAUGCAGCACCGCCGCGUGCGGGAUGACGGCCUUCGGGUUGUAAACCGCUUUCGCCUGUGACGAAGCGUGAGUGACGGUAAUGGGUAAAGAAGCACCGGCUAACUACGUG
rnacentral:rRNA from 1 species